AGAGAGAGAAGACAAUGAAAUUAAUCGGGGCGAAUAAUAGAUUGAUAUAAAACUAGAAGUAAGAUCGGAGCUCGAGGUCAGUCCUGAAUGAUCUCGAGUUCGUUUAGAUUGUGUAUCUGAAUAGGAAUAAUAUAAUUGUCUUUAUAUUUAACUAUUCCAUGCUUACAAUUUAAAUGAAAGAAAGAUUCCAUUUCGGGCAAGGCGUUACAAGUGGUGACUAGCGGAAAAAAAACAGGACGCCUUUACUGACUUGUGUAAAUUCAGUGUUUUGAGAAAAAAAUUAAUCAGUGCCAAGAAAACGUUCAAAAAAAAUUUUUUUUAGUGCCAAGAAAAAAGUUUGAAAAUUAAAAAUAAUAAUACAGUGCGAGGAAAAUAGAAGAAAAUCCAUUAGUGCCAAGAAAAGUCAAAAAAAAAUAUAUAUAUGGUGCCAAGAAGAAGAUCAACAAUGAAAUUGCUUUGCCAGAUCUACACACCUAAAAAAAGCCUGGAAAAAGAGAGGGGAAGAUGAUUCCGCAAGCGAAAUCAGUAAGCCAUCCACCGUUAAAUUAGAUAAUCAGAUUUCUUAUUUUUUAGAUAACCAAAAAAAAAAAAAAAAAAAAAACACACACAAAAAAAACGGGUCUGGAACAAACCAAUGA